rnacentral:lncRNA from 1 species
UAAUUUUAUUAUCACAUUAAAACAUUGGAAAGCAAGUAUUCUGUGGUUGGACAUGGUCAUCAAGUGGAAACUAAGAAAGAUAAAAAUGGAUGCAUUUGCAAGAUCAUUAUCAGGGUGUGGCAUAUGAACCUACACUGAAAAAGCAGCAAAAGCAACGUGAUGAGCAUUCAAGGCAAGAGGGGUCACAGUGUGAUGCCUACAAACCAAGAAUUGUCAUAACGUCCUCAAGAAACAAAGCCAAGCAAAGGGAGGAGGCCUGUGACAGAAAACAGGUGCAGUGUGGGUAACAGCAGAGAGUAAAGCACGAGCCAGCACAGAGAGACUUACAAGUACUUUCGUUUAUUUAAUCUCAAAGCAUGAGGAAGUGACUAGAAGUUUUUGUGAGAAUUCUUACCGUUCUGCUGACAUACAUUAUAAGAGACCAAACAUGUUAGCAAAGAAACUAGAUCAGAGCAAGAGAUAGUGAUUGCUUGACAGGAAUACUGACCGUGCAGAUAAGAGGUGGAUGAAUAGGACAUCUGGAGUAGAACACAUUGGGAACAAGGUAGGAGCAAAGAGAAGUCUAUUCAUUUUAAGACCUUUUAUUUCUUAAGGGACUGGGUGAAGAGUAAUAAUGGUGACACGAAAGAUACAGGGGAAAAAUCAUCUAGACAGAGGAAGGCAUCAAGAAUGCUGCUGUGAACAGCUGGAGUUCUCAGCUGAUAACUGUCCUGAAAGUCACAGGCAUCUGUGAGGUAGGGUAUGAUACAGAAGGCAAGUCCUUGAGAACCCAAAGGACACUGAUAAACUUCUCUCUAUCCUCCAAUCAACUCUCUGGAAAUAAUAUGAUACUGAGAAAAGCCAACGUGUAUCCUUUCUCUCCUCGGCCUUUCUUAAUUUAUCUAUUGAAAUGAAGUUAAAACUUGCAAAGCACAAUAAUUAGCACCUUAUACAUUGCUCCUUGAAAGAACUGCUUUCAAACAAGAAGAGAAAGUGUGGUUAGGCAAACCCAGACUCAUUUCUCUUGGCCAACUUACUGAAGAGAAGUUUGACUCCUUCUUCUGUCCUUGUCUCUUCUCUACUCUAGAGAUAAUAAGAUGUACCUAACCUGAUACAAGGUUUUCAUGAGAAACAAAUAAAAUGAUGCAAGUCAGACUUUGAGCCAAUAGGCAGGAAACCAAUGCUAUGUUACAAAAAUUAUGACACGGAAUAACAUAUAUUGUGCUUCUACACUAUAUUAUUAUAUACAACUUCUUUAUGCCAUUUUACCUGCAGAAUAAGAUUGCUGAGCUCCGCAGGUAAGACCAUCAAUUCCAUCAAACAAAAAAUACGCUCUCUUCUUUUGAAAAUGAAAC